rnacentral:rRNA from 1 species
GACGAAGGAUGCAAGCGUUAUCCGGAUUCAUUGGGUUUAAAGGGAGCGUAGGCGGAUUGGUAAGUCAGUGGUGAAAUCUUUGGGCUUAACCCAGAAACUGCCAUUGAUACUGCUGAUCUAGAGUACAGUUGCCGUUGGCGGAAUAUGACAUGUAGUGGUGAAAUACUUAGAUAUGUCAUAGAACACCGAUUGCGAAGGCAGCUAACGAAGCUGUAACUGACGCUGAGGCUCGAAAAGUGCGGGGAUUAACAAGCAUG